UGUGACGUCAUCUAUGCGACAAUUUUAAAGCACAUUUCCAGCAGAUUCUUCUAAGUUAUUCUGAAAGCCAAACUCCAUUACAAGCUAUAAUAGCAUCAAAACAAAGGCACUUUUAAGAGCCACGUCCCCGUCGUUUCCCUGUCCUUGCUGUUGUGAAAUUGUCCUAUCUCUGUUGCUGUCUAUGUAUCUCUGUCUGUGUACCUGUGUAUGUGUCUCAUCUGUCCAUCUUUCUGUUGUUAGUCCCUUUCUGUGUUUUUGUUUUUGUACACUUGUUUGUCAUGACUCGACCUAAAUUCAGGCCCUGCCCUGCAUGCCAGACUCCAAAUCAGGCGAGCAGGAAAACAUGCCGUUCCUGCUACGGAAGCCUGUCAACCAAAACAAAACUAAAAGAAAAAGUGGCAUCACUGGAUAGUGAAUGGGGCCAAGGUGUGGUGAAAAACAGAAAUGUUGGACGUAUACUUGAUUCUGCCCGUAUUGCAGUGCUGAAACUGGAGGCUGUAGGCGACAAGCCCAUUCUACUUUAUGGCAAGCCAAAUAGGGCGUCAAAUAGGUGGGCUGCUAAUAUAAUAACCCAUCUGCCCCCACUCCUACCAACAAAACCCUAUUGGAGAAAAUGCAGAGGUGUUAUGAAUUCCUCUUGAGAAAGGAGAGCUCCACUUCCCAUCAACCUGCAUCUGAAACUCCCACAGCCGAGCAACCACAGACCAUUUGUUACGGUAGAGUGAAGCAGGCAGGACCCAAAUGCAGAAUAAACUGAUAACACCUUUAUUUCAAGGAUAUGAAUAAAACUCGGACAAAACAGAACACUCCCCGGUGAACUCAGUCACCAACAAAAGACGAACCAACACUGAACACAGGAAGAGCCAAGACUAAAUACUGGGAAAGUCUUGUCUGAAUGAACAGCCAAAAAAGAAGAAGAUGAAACCAGAUGUUGCAGAACUUGGGAAGACACUUGGGAGCCUGCCAGUGAAUUUGAACACCACACUGCCACACUCGACUCUUCACCUCCCUCUGGCUUAGCCAGCCACGUUUAGCAUAUCAGCCUUAAUCCACCUGGACUGCAUGCAUUUCUUUAAAUUCGAACAUGUUUAGCAUCAAGACCAAUUGCUUCUUUAAAUGUAGUUUUAACUUAAGUCAAGUUUUUGCACUCUGUAUGUAUCCAGGUGGUUGUGUGUUUCUUUCAGGAAGUUGUCACUUUAAAACACCUUUUGUAUUUCUCCUGAAACAGGUUAUUGUUAUUGUAUUUCUAUGUAAAGACUAGUAUAAAAAGUAUGUGUGCAUAUAGCCUAUGUAUUUGUUUCUGAAUAUUGAAAUACAAAUAAAUAACUGGCA